rnacentral:lncRNA from 1 species
CAACAAUAUUGCGAAACACGCGCGGGAAAAAAAGAUUUUGCCACCUUGGAUUGCUUUGUGUCUGUAUUUGUCGAGGCUUUUAAUAAGUGCAAUGGUUCGGUGAAGAAGUUUAAAAGAGACAGCGUACGGGCUAUUAGGUUGGAGGAAAAGUUUGCCACUCUGAGAAAUGACAAAGUGUGACCAAUCUAUUUGAUGAUUGGAAACGGCUUGCAGGAGAUGCCCAUAGUUGAGACCUUUGUUGUGGUGAAAUGAAGGGUGUUUUUAUCACUGUUAAACUGCUUGGACCACUUACUAUUUAAUUUGAGUAUAAUGGCCUUUUCAAACAUUUGGUUAACAUAGUUUAAUUAAUAUGUCAUAUUCUCUGUUUUAGGCAGUAUUCUGCUUUGUUUAUAAAUAUCUAGAGGCC